CCAUAGAGUCUCCCAACUUCAGGAGAAAUUAUUAGUUCCUCCGGGAGGACCACAUCAGUGGUCCUCCCUGCUCCUGCCAACCAAUUAAAAGGUGCCAUGUGGCCAUUUUUCUGAUUCAGCUCCACAUCAGCAGCAACCCAUUUCCUUAACUCUUGUUAACAAAACCAAACCAAGGUUAAAACUAAAACAACCUCAGCAUCCUAAACCUUCUCACCGUAUUUCAAACCUUCUCACCGUAUUUCUCCUUUCUUUGCUCUUUUCCCUCUGCCUUUCAGCUACCCAAAAAAACAAAAAACUCUCUUUCUUCAUAUCUUUCUCUACCCAAAAUUCAAAAACUCUCUCACAACAUUGCUCAAUCCCCAUGGCUACAGCUAAUAGCCACUGCGUCCCACACCUCCACUACCAGCGGAGUUCCGGAUAAAAUAUUAGCCUCUGCUGCAAUGAAGUUCAAUGUAUCUUGCCAGAAAAAUGUUUUGAAGCAUUCCAUGAAGCAUUGAAGCCAUGUAUCUUGCUGUCAAUAGGCUAAUUUUCAGUAUCAAUGGAACACUGAAUGUAUUCUUUAGUUUUGACACUUAGUUUUCAUGUUCGUUUACAAAAACUUUGACGUGGAUUUAGAGUACAAACCAAGAAGAAUGUAAUAAAAUAUAGUUAUUCUUUUAUUGAUAUUGGUUUGAGAAUGUAAUAAAAUGUAAUUGAUUGUGUGCC